AACGAACGCUGGCGGCAUGCCUAACACAUGCAAGUCGAACGAGACCUUCGGGUCUAGUGGCGCCCGGGUGCGUAACGCGUGGGAACCUGCACUUAUGUUCGGAAUAACUCCCCGAAAGGGGUGCUAAUACCAGAUAAUGUCUUCGGACCAAAGAUUUAUCGCCUUUGGAUGGGCCCGCGUUGGAUUAGCUAGUUGGUAGGGUAAAAGCCUACCAAGGCGACGAUCCAUAGCUGGUCUGAGAGGAUGAUCAGCCACACUGGGACUGAGACACGGCCCAGACUCCUACGGGAGGCAGCAGUGGGGAAUAUUGGACAAUGGGCGAAAGCCUGAUCCAGCAAUGCCGCGUGAGUGAUGAAGGCCUUAGGGUUGUAAAGCUCUUUUACCCGGGAUGAUAAUGACAGUACCGGGAGAAUAAGCUCCGGCUAACUCCGUG
rnacentral:rRNA from 1 species